rnacentral:hammerhead_ribozyme from 1 species
AUCUAGCUGAAGAGUCCCUAAACACGACGAAACACGCGUCCUGAAU